UUCUUCAUUUUGGUCGCUUGUCAAUCCUCUUUCCCGUCCACUCUUCCUGUCAAUGGUUUGAUUUGAAUGACCAAUGGCGGAUUAGUGGAUGUGAAGGAAGACUAGCUUCCGUAACACUUUUG
rnacentral:pre_miRNA from 14 species